GACGAACGCUGGCGGCGUGCUUAACACAUGCAAGUCGAGCGGAGCGGCGAACGGGUGAGUAACGCGUGAGUAACUGCCCCCCUCCCUGGGAUAACAGUUGGAAACGGCUGCUAAUACCGGAUAGUGGGGGAUGACUCGCGUCCUAUCAGCUUGUUGGUGGGGUAGUGGCCUACCAAGGCGACGACGGGUAGCCGGCCUGAGCGGGCGACCGGCCACAUUGGGCAGAGAUACGGGCGCAGCGCCUACGGGAGACAGCAGGGGGGAAUAUUGCACAAUGGGGGAAACCCUUAGGCAGCAACGCGCGUGCGGGAUGACGGCAUUCGGGUUGUAAACCGCUUUCAGCCAUGAAGCGGUAGUGGCAGAAGAAGCACCGGCUAACUACGUGCCAGCAGCCGCGGUAAUUC
rnacentral:rRNA from 1 species